GUAAUAUACUAAUCCGUGCAUCCAUUAUAUAUCUUACACGUCAUGUGAACGUGCAUCGGUUCAUAAUGUUGUGUUUAUAAAUGUUAAUGGUAUGUGUGGUUGCACGGGUUUGUAUGUUGC
rnacentral:miRNA from 1 species